rnacentral:rRNA from 1 species
CGUUGGCCCAAUUGAUUGAUGGUGCUUGCACCUGAUUGAUUUUGGUCGCCAACGAGUGGCGGACGGGUGAGUAACACGUAGGUAACCUGCCCAGAAGCGGGGGACAACAUUUGGAAACAGAUGCUAAUACCGCAUAACAACGUUGUUCGCAUGAACAACGCUUAAAAGAUGGCUUCUCGCUAUCACUUCUGGAUGGACCUGCGGUGCAUUAGCUUGUUGGUGGGGUAAUGGCCUACCAAGGCGAUGAUGCAUAGCCGAGUUGAGAGACUGAUCGGCCACAAUGGGACUGAGACACGGCCCAUACUCCUACGGGAGGCAGCAGUAGGGAAUCUUCCACAAUGGGCGCAAGCCUGAUGGAGCAACACCGCGUGAGUGAAGAAGGGUUUCGGCUCGUAAAGCUCUGUUGUUAAAGAAGAACACGUAUGAGAGUAACUGUUCAUACGUUGACGGUAUUUAACCAGAAAGUCACGGCUAACUACGUGCCAGCAGCCGCGGUAAUACGUAGGUGGCAAGCGUUAUCCGGAUUUAUUGGGCGUAAAGAGAGUGCAGGCGGUUUUCUAAGUCUGAUGUGAAAGCCUUCGGCUUAACCGGAGAAGUGCAUCGGAAACUGGAUAACUUGAGUGCAGAAGAGGGUAGUGGAACUCCAUGUGUAGCGGUGGAAUGCGUAGAUAUAUGGAAGAACACCAGUGGCGAAGGCGGCUACCUGGUCUGCAACUGACGCUGAGACUCGAAAGCAUGGGUAGCGAACAGGAUUAGAUACCCUGGUAGUCCAUGCCGUAACGAUGAGUGCUAGGUGUUGGAGGGUUUCCGCCCUUCAGUGCCGGAGCUAACGCAUUAAGCACUCCGCCUGGGGAGUACGACCGCAAG